rnacentral:lncRNA from 13 species
UCCGCAUGUACGCGUGAACGUACAACAACGUGCGCGCGCGUUGCUGCUGCAGCCGGCGCGUGUUCCGAAAACCUGCGAGCGGUUACCUCGCCACCAGCAUCAACGAGCACGGAGUUUUAUAAAAAGUCUAUAUCAAGCCACGCAUUGGAAAUUGGAGAAUUUGACUAAUGAGAACGAAAUGGAUUGAAAUUAUUUGAUCGAUCAAAUUCUAAUCAUCACAAGUCGCAAUCUUCAACCUCCAAUACGCACAAUCAUCGCUUUGCAUUGGAACUGGAACGCGUAUUCUCAAAUUAUUGAGGCCUCUUCGAGGACCACUCUCUUGGUCACAAACAUCUGGAUUCUAGGAUCUAAUUUUAGAGCGCGACACCUCGAUUUAAACCAUGUGGAUCGUGGAGAGCAUUUCCUCCGUGCGACAAUUAACCAUUUAAUUUUAUAAGUAUUACAUUCUCGGUGGUUCUCACGAUUAUGUUACUUUGUUACCGCAAUCGCAUAACGGCUUGCAUUUGACAUCUUCCGGUUGGAAAUAAACUAUUCGAGAUAGAGGAAAAACCA